GGAGGACCAUUAGUUCAGUGGUAGGACACAUGCUUUGCAUCCAGAAGGUCCCAGGUUCAAUCCUUGGCACCUCCA